UACGGGGGGGGCAAGCGUUGUUCGGAAUUACUGGGCGUAAAGGGUUAGUAGGUGGCCAACUAAGUCAGACGUGAAAUCCCUAGGCUCAACCUAGGAACUGCGUCUGAUACUGGAUGGCUUGAAUCCGGGAGAGGGAUGCAGAAUUCCAGGUGUAGCGGUGAAAUGCGUAGAUAUCUGGAGGAAUACCGGUGGCGAAGGCGGCAUCCUGGACCGGCAUUGACGCUGAGGAGCGAAAGCCAGGGGAGCAAACGGG
rnacentral:rRNA from 1 species